rnacentral:rRNA from 1 species
GAUGAACGCUAGCGGCAGGCUUAAUACAUGCAAGUCGAGGGGCAGCAGGACUGUAGCAAUACAGUUGCUGGCGACCGGCAAACGGGUGCGGAACACGUACGCAACCUACCCAAAACUGGGGGAUAGCCCGGGGAAACCCGGAUUAAUACCUCGUAACCUUUUUAAGUGGCAUCACUUGAUAAGUAUAGCUCCGGCGGUUUUGGAUGGGCGUGCGCCUGAUUAGGUAGUUGGUGCGGGUAACGGCCCACCAAGCCUGCGAUCAGUAACUGGUGUGAGAGCACGACCAGUCACACGGGCACUGAGACACGGGCCCGACUCCUACGGGAGGCAGCAGUAAGGAAUAUUGGUCAAUGGACGCAAGUCUGAACCAGCCAUGCCGCGUGAAGGAUGAAGGUCCCCUGGAUUGUAAACUUCUUUUAUGGGGGACGAAACCCGGAUAUUCUUAUCCGAUUGACGGUACCUCAGGAAUAAGCACCGGCUAACUCCGUG